rnacentral:rRNA from 1 species
UUUCCAGACUCCUACGGGAGGCAGCAGUAGGGAAUUUUGCGCAAUGGGCGAAAGCCUGACGCAGCAACACCGCGUGAAUGUUAAGCCCUUCGGGGUGUAAAGUUCUGUCAAUAGGGACGAAUUUUGACUGUACCUAUAAAGGAAGCACCGGCUAACUCCGUGCCAGCAGCCGCGGUAAUACGGGGGGUGCAAGCGUUGUCCGGAAUCAUUGGGCGUAAAGCGUUCGUAGGCGGCAAGGUAAGUCUGAUGUUAAAGCCCGGGGCUCAACUCCGGUUCGGCAUUGGAUACUAUCUAGCUAGAAUGUGGUAGAGGUAAAGGGAAUUCCUGGUGUAGCGGUGAAAUGCGUAGAUAUCAGGAGGAACAUCGGUGGCGAAAGCGCUUUACUGGACCAUUAUUGACGCUGAGGAACGAAAG